AGAGCAACGGGACGGGUCCCCAUCCUUUGCCAAUCAGCGUUCGUUUCCUUCCUGCUCAUCGCGAGAGCUUUUGUACUGUGUUUGAUUGAAGAGUUGCAGUGACCUCAUCCCUCCAGCAGCUGCUGCGACGAGGACCUCUUUUCCUGCAACUUUUUGUAUGAACUUCGAAGUUGAACAAUCGCAAAAGGAAGCAGACACUUGGAGUAAGCGGGAACAUCGCUUUCCCUGGAAUCUGUCUUACAACCGCGGAGGUGGGGAGAAGAAAGAUCAUCCUGAGAGACGGACACACACAGGGCAGGAGAAUGUACCAGACACUGACGCCUCUUGUAAGUAGGCUUCAACGUUCCUUUAAAGGUUUUAGCCAACGUUUCUAAUGUUGCUUUAAAGGUUUUAGCCAAUGUUUCUGACGUUGCUUUGUAUGACUGACUGUUAAUAACCUCUUUGGGCUAUGGGGCAGUAUUUUCACGUCUGGAUGACAAGCGUGCCCAAAGUAAACUGCCUGUUACUCAGCCCCAGAAGCUAGGAUAUGCAUAUAAUUGGUAGAUUUGGAUAGAAAACACUCUAACGUUUCUAAAACUGUUAAAAUAAUAUCUGUGAGUAUAACAGAACUGAUAUGGCAGGUGAAAACCCAAGGACAAACCAUCCAGAAAAAAAUAAAAUGUUUUUAAUGCUUUUGUGUUUGCUGGGCGCUGCCCUCAGAUAAUCGCAUGGUGUGCUUUCGCCGUAAAGCCUUUUUGAAAUCUGACACAGCGGCUGGAUUAUCAAGAAAUUAAGCUUCUAACUUUUUUCACCGGAAGUUGUCGAGAUGGGACGCACGGAUCCGCAAGAAGUUAAAGGGAUUGUUUGACUGACGGUUAAAGGGAUUGUUUAUGACUGACUGUUAAUUAAAGGGAUUAUUUGUGACUGACUGUUAAUUAAAGGGAUUAUUUGUGACUGACUGUUAAUUAAAGGGAUUAUUUGUGACUGACUGUUAAUUAAGGGGAUUGUUUGUGACUGACUGUUAAAGGGAUUAUUUGUGAUUGACGGUUAAAGGGAUUGUUUAUGACUGACGGUUAAAGGGAUUGUUUAUGACUGACGGUUAAGGGGAUUGUUUGUGACUGACGGUUAAAGGGAUUGUUUAUGACUGACGGUUAAAGGGAUUGUUUAUGACUGACGGUUAAAGGGAUUGUUUAUGACUGACGGUUAAAGGGAUUGUUUAUGACUGACGGUUAAUUAAAGGGAUUGUUUGUGACUG
rnacentral:lncRNA from 13 species